rnacentral:rRNA from 2 species
UUAUUAUGAGAGUUUGAUCCUGGCUCAGGACGAACGCUGGCGGCGUGCCUAAUACAUGCAAGUCGAACGCUUCUUUCCUCCCGAGUGCUUGCACUCAAUUGGAAAGAGGAGUGGCGGACGGGUGAGUAACACGUGGGUAACCUACCCAUCAGAGGGGGAUAACACUUGGAAACAGGUGCUAAUACCGCAUAACAGUUUAUGCCGCAUGGCAUAAGAGUGAAAGGCGCUUUCGGGUGUCGCUGAUGGAUGGACCCGCGGUGCAUUAGCUAGUUGGUGAGGUAACGGCUCACCAAGGC